AUUGAAUCCGCCACCGCAGCAUGGAAUCCCCCCGAUCCGCGCUGGAACCACCGCGCCUCGCCACGCUGGCGGAGAGAUUUUGCGCCGACGGGCGGCCGUUCCCAGCAAGACGAAGGUCGCUGAGGUUGGGGAAGCAGUCGGGGUGGAGGCUGCUGGUGAGGGAGAGGUCUGGCAUUUCAAGAGUGCGUCGAAGCUUGGGCAGGUCGCUGGCGGCGUUGGUGUU
rnacentral:lncRNA from 1 species